GAGGCUGUAGCUCAGUGCUAGAGCACAUGCUUAGCAUGCACGAGGUCUUGGGUUCCAUCCCCAGCCCCUCU
rnacentral:tRNA from 1 species